rnacentral:rRNA from 1 species
AGUGAACGCUGGCGGUAGGCCUAACACAUGCAAGUCGAACGGCAGCACAGUAAGAGCUUGCUCUUACGGGUGGCGAGUGGCGGACGGGUGAGGAAUACAUCGGAAUCUACUUUUUCGUGGGGGGAUAACGUAGGGAAACUUACGCUAAUACCGCAUACGACCUACGGGUGAAAGCAGGGGAUCUUCGGACCUUGCGCGAUUGAAUGAGCCGAUGUCGGAUUAGCUAGUUGGCGGGGUAAAGGCCCACCAAGGCGACGAUCUGUAGCUGGUCUGAGAGGAUGAUCAGCCACACUGGAACUGAGACACGGUCCAGACUCCUACGGGAGGCAGCAGUGGGGAAUAUUGGACAAUGGGCGCAAGCCUGAUCCAGCCAUACCGCGUGGGUGAAGAAGGCCUUCGGGUUGUAAAGCCCUUUUGUUGGGAAAGAAAAGCAGCAGGUUAAUACCCCGCUGUUCUGACGGUACCCAAAGAAUAAGCACCGGCUAACUUCGUG